rnacentral:rRNA from 1 species
AGAGAGAGACAUGCGCGCAUAUCAAUAAGCGGAGGAAAAGAAACUAACAAGGAUUCCCCUAGUAACGGCGAGUGAAGCGGGAAGAGCUCAAAUUUGAAAUCUUAAAGGGUUUCCCUUUACGAAUUGUAGUUUAAAGAAGUGUUUUCUGUUGAGGUUUUGGUAAAAGUUCUUUGGAAUAGGACAUCAUAGAGGGUGAGAAUCCCGUAUUUGACCUUUACUUUCAACUUUGUGAUACACUUUCAAAGAGUCGGAUUGUUUGGGAAUGCAGUCCAAAAUGGGUGGUAAAUUUCAUCUAAAGCUAAAUAUUGGCGAGAGACCGAUAGCGAACAAGUACCGUGAGGGAAAGAUGAAAAGAACUUUGAAAAGAGAGUUAAACAGUACGUGAAAUUGUCAAAAGGGAAGCGUUUGACACCAGUGUUGUUUUUCUGAAAAUCAAUUAAAGAACUGUUAUGCUAAGCUGUUUAGACUUUAUCAGCUAUCUGUUUAGUUUUGAGCUUUUCUUUAAUGCACUUUUCAGUUAACAAGUCAACAUCAAUUUCUUUUGCUGUAAAAAAGCUUGAGGAAGGUGGCUUGAGAUUCGUCUUAAGUGUUUAUAGCCUCUUGCCUAUGCAGUCGGAGAGAUUGAGGUCUGCAGCGUAGAUCCUUCGGGGCUAAAUGCAUUUGUGCUAAGUUAUAGCAUUUUAUAGACAACUUGUUGACUAUGAUUUGUCUUGUAGCUUACUCGCUUAUGUUAUUUUACCUACGCUUAGGAUGUUGACGCAUGAGAUAUACGC